CGGUUAAGUUAGAAAGGGCGCACGGUGGAUGCCUUGGCACUAGGAGCCGAUGAAGGACGGGACGAACACCGAUAUGCUUCGGGGAGCUGUAAGCAAGCUUUGAUCCGGAGAUUUCCGAAUGGGGAAACCCACCACUCGUAAUGGAGUGGUAUCCAUAUCUGAAUACAUAGGAUAUGAGAAGGCAGACCCGGGGAACUGAAACAUCUAAGUACCCGGAGGAAGAGAAAGC
rnacentral:rRNA from 1 species